GAUGAACGCUGGCGGCGUGCCUAAUACAUGCAAGUCGAGCGAACGGACGAGAAGCUUGCUUCUCUGAUGUUAGCGGCGGACGGGUGAGUAACACGUGGAUAACCUACCUAUAAGACUGGGAUAACUUCGGGAAACCGUAGCUAAUACCGGAUAAUAUUUUGAACCGCAUGGUUCAAAAGUGAAAGACGGUCUUGCUGUCACUUAUAGAUGGAUCCGCGCUGCAUUAGCUAGUUGGUAAGGUAACGGCUUACCAAGGCAACGAUGCAUAGCCGACCUGAGAGGGUGGUCGGCCACACGGGAACUGAGACACGGUCCAGACUCCUACGGGAGGCAGCAGUAGGGAAUCUUCCGCAAUGGGCGAAAGCCUGACGGAGCAACGCCGCGUGAGUGAUGAAGGUCUUCGGAUCGUAAAACUCUGUUAUUAGGGAAGAACAUAUGUGUAAGUAACUGUGCACAUCUUGACGGUACCUAAUCAGAAAGCCACGGCUAACUACGUG
rnacentral:rRNA from 1 species